GACGAACGCUGGCGGCGUGCUUAACACAUGCAAGUCGAACGGAAAGGCCCUGCUUUUGUGGGGUGCUCGAGUGGCGAACGGGUGAGUAACACGUGAGUAACCUGCCCUUGACUUUGGGAUAACUUCAGGAAACUGGGGCGAAUACCGGAUAGGAGCUCCUGCUGCAUGGUGGGGGUUGGAAAGUUUCGGCGGUUGGGGAUGGACUCGCGGCUUAUCAGCUUGUUGGUGGGGUAGUGGCUUACCAAGGCUUUGACGGGUAGCCGGCCUGAGAGGGUGACCGGCCACAUUGGGACUGAGAUACGGACCAGACUCCUACGGGAGGCAGCAGUGGGGAAUAUUGCACAAUGGGCGGAAGCCUGAUGCAGCAACGCCGCGUGCGGGAUGACGGCCUUCGGGUUGUAAACCGCUUUCGCCGGUGACGAAGCGUGAGUGACGGUAAUGGGUAAAGAAGCAACGGCUAACUACGUG
rnacentral:rRNA from 1 species